AUUGAACGCUGGCGGCAGGCCUAACACAUGCAAGUCGAACGAGUGGCGGACGGGUGAGUAAUGUCUGGGAAACUGCCUGAUGGAGGGGGAUAACUACUGGAAACGGUAGCUAAUACCGCAUACCAUCAGAUGUGCCCAGAUGGGAUUCGCGAGUUGGUGGGGUAACGGCUCACCAAGGCGACGAUCCCUAGCUGGUCUGAGAGGAUGACCGUCCACACUGGAACUGAGACACGCUCCAGACUCCUACGGAAGUAAGAAGUGGGGAAUAUUGCACAAUGUGCGCAAGCCUGAUGCAGCCAUGCCGCGGAUAGUAGGAAGGCCUUCGGGUGGUAAAGUCCUUUCAGCGGGGAGGCGGUACCCGCAGAAGAAGCACCGGCUAACUCCGUGCCAGCAGCCGCGGUAAUAC
rnacentral:rRNA from 1 species